rnacentral:rRNA from 1 species
AUUGAACGCUAGCGGGAUGCUUUACACAUGCAAGUCGAACGGCAGCGCGGACUUCGGUCUGGCGGCGAGUGGCGAACGGGUGAGUAAUGUAUCGGAACGUGCCCAGUAGCGGGGGAUAACUACGCGAAAGCGUAGCUAAUACCGCAUACGCCCUACGGGGGAAAGCAGGGGAUCGUAAGACCUUGCACUAUUGGAGCGGCCGAUAUCGGAUUAGCUAGUUGGUGAGGUAACGGCUCACCAAGGCGACGGUCCGUAGCUGGUUUGAGAGGACGACCAGCCACACUGGGACUGAGACACGGCCCAGACUCCUACGGGAGGCAGCAGUGGGGAAUUUUGGACAAUGGGGGCAACCCUGAUCCAGCCAUCCCGCGUGUGCGAUGAAGGCCUUCGGGUUGUAAAGCACUUUUGGCAGGAAAGAAACGUCGCGGGCUAAUACCCCGUGGAACUGACGGUACCUGCAGAAUAAGCACCGGCUAACUACGUG